CACCGCAGGUGGGCGGGGCCUAAACGGUGUUCCGUGGGAUUGGGCGAGAAGAAACAGGUGCCAGGUCGACGCCGAGGGCUUCUCUACGGCUGGCCGCCUAGGAGAGGCGGCCACGCAGGUGAGCGUGUUCCAGACGGUUCUGGCUUUGCUUAAAAGGAGCAUGCGCUUUAGAGCUUUUCGUCCACUAAGUGUCAGCUACGACUGUCGUCUCUUCCUUCCCUGCUUACUGUCUCAAGCCCCAGCGUUAGGAUUUUCUCCGCACCAGCCCCUCAGUGGCAUGGGUCCAGGGCUUUUGUUCCAUGUCAUCCCCUAGGGAAGCUCUGGGCUGAGGCUUAGUCUUGGAUGGUCCAUCACAAAUGCACCGUGAUGAGACAGGCAAAUCAUGUUUCAGGUCUGGGCAGCCAGGAACAAACGAGCGGCCUCUGCCUACAUCCCCUUCCCCACCAAAUAUGGAAGCCAAACACAGAUAUUCUUGUAUUCAGCAUUGUACUUUAGGAUUCUGCUAAAUAAAUCCUGUAAGGAAAAAACUACAUAUUAAAAGAGUAAAGUGUUGGAGAAUAUUAACUUGGUA